rnacentral:misc_RNA from 1 species
CUAUUCUUUUGUUGAGAAAUUUUUGUUGAUUCCACAAGCCUUGAAAGUCCCACUUAUGUUGAAUUCGAAACACAUAGCUCCUUAUCCAGAAUGGAUGGAACAUGUCCCAUAUCCCCCUGAAUGAAUACCAAAUCCCUAACUUUUUUCCGGUUUAAUGCCGGAGAUGACGCAUUGGCUUAUAUUUGGUCUAUUUUCAACAAGAGUGUGGGGUAAGAGCUGCUGUCGAGGCUCUCUGUUGCAAACAAUUUUGUUACUCGCUUAUGGGAAGAACCCUUAUUUGGUAUGAUAACUUCGCCUGGGGAUCCAUACCGACAUGGGGAGCUAUGGUGGUAG